AGGUGUGUACCUGCCCAAAGUAACACAGGAUAAAUCUGGGCCAGUGAGCAUCAGUUUUAGAGUUACCACCUACUCAUUUAAGAUUGCAGGUGUCAAAAUCCCCUGGAAACUAAGCAGUAAGUGCUACAAGGCCUUAUACUCAAUAUUAGCUGACAAACUUGAGAACAACAAUCUCUAUGAUGGAAAAUGUGUGGGCGGAUCAGGCAUGGGAGGGGAGUGAUUUGUGGACUCCAGAGACUGUGCUACACAUUGUGACAGACAGCUUGUGCUAACAGCCAGGAAAGCACUCAUUUUCAGCACAAAGUUGUGGGCUUCAUUAUGGUGGUUAGAAUAUUACCCCUGUCAUUGCUGUCCAGGCUGUGCGAGGCUUUGCACUGUAUUAUGCAGAGAGCAGGGGCACCAUUUUCAGUGUGUCAGCCAGCAGAUUUCCAAAAAUGCAGGUAAGAAAGCUGUGAGAAUGAAGGGGUAAAAAACCUCACCAAUGUCUUUUCAUGUGUUUUUCAUUCUUAAGACUCAAACUUCAUUCCUUUUCUGUCAUGACCAAGGCGAUUCUACAUUCUCCAGGGGAAAACUGGAAUGUCGUGACCUUUAGGGUGAACCAGGCAUGAAGCAAGACUUGUUAUUUUCUCGCAAGCUUGGGGAAAUAUUUCAGGAAAGAAAACAGAAAAGUGUGUCUUCUUUCCUUCUGCUGCCCCAUCUCCCAAGCACCUCCGUCCUCCAUGAUCAGACUGAGGCAACUUGCAUUUAACACAAAACACUUAAUUUACACAUAUGCUUCAGUCCACGUGUAAGUUUUCUAGGUGACAACUCUAUCGGGGAAAAUGCUGUUUAGAUUGUGUGUGCAAAGUAAAUGGCUUGUAAAUACUUGAAAAAAAAAAAAGGUUAAUUUUCAGUUGUGCAAUAAACUUGUGAAAUAAUCCUCUCAA